CAGUCGCCGCGGGAAUACGAAGGGGGCUAGCGUUGUUCGGAUUUACUGGGCGUAAAAGGCGCGUAGGCGGACUGAUAAGUCGGGGGUGAAAUCCCAAGGCUCAACCUUGGAACUGCCUUUGAUACUGUUUGUCUUGAGUUCGAGAGAGGUAAGUGGAACUGCGAGUGUAGAGGUGAAAUUCGUAGAUAUUCGCAAGAACACCAGUGGCGAAGGCGGCUUACUGGCUCGAAACUGACGCUGAGACGCGAAAGCGUGGGGAGCAAACAGGAUUAGAUACCCCUGUAGUCCCUGUCUCUUAUAC
rnacentral:rRNA from 1 species